rnacentral:rRNA from 1 species
CAGUAGCCGCGGGAAUAUGGAGGAUCCAAGCGUUAUCCGGAUUUAUUGGGUUUAAAGGGUGCGUAGGCGGCCUGUUAAGUCAGAGGCGAAAGACGGUAGCUCAACUAUCGCAGUGCCUUUGAUACUGACGGGCUUGAAUGGACUAGAGGUAGGCGGAAUGAGACAAGUAGCGGUGAAAUGCAUAGAUAUGUCUCAGAACACCGAUUGCGAAGGCAGCUUACUAUGGUCCUAUUGACGCUGAGGCACGAAAGCGUGGGGAUCAAACAGGAUUAGAUACCCCAGUAGUCCCUGUCUCUUAUAC